UACGUAGGGGGCGAGCGUUGUCCGGAAUUAUUGGGCGUAAGGGGCGCGUAGGCGGAUUUUUAAGUCUGGUGUGAAAGCCCUCGGCUUAACCGGGGACGUGCAUUUGAAACUGGCAGACUUGAGUGAAGUAGAGGUUGGCGGAAUUCCUAGUGUAGCGGUGAAAUGCGUAGAUAUUAGGAGGAACACCGGUGGCGAAGGCGGCCCUCUGGACGGAUACUGACGCUGAGACGCGAAAGCGUGGGGAGCAAAC
rnacentral:rRNA from 1 species